UCCUACGUAGACUAAACAAAAGGGAAACGAUAGCGUUUAAUCAAUGGCUCGACUUCUUCUUCGUCGUCGUGAUACCAUGGAUCGACUGUUCUGCUGAAUGCCUGAUUUCUUCUUCUUCGGCGCUGUUUAUACCAUGGUCCGACUGUGUUGCUGAUCCUAGCCAUGGCUCUCUUUACCAAUCUGAGCAGAUCCGACGAUGAUGUUAGCCCCAUCGAUGGUCGAUCGGUUGUGGUGGAUUUCUUCUUCUUCGAUCCACCAGAAUAUGUUCAUCAGAUCCGACGAUGAUGGGUUUCUUCUUUUUCUACUUUUCGUUCCCAUGUAACAUGAUUUUAUUCUUUAUGUCUCUUAAUUUUGGGGAGUAAGGAAGAUUUCUAGGCUGUGAAUUUGAGAUUGUAUUGAUGUGUUUGAAUCUAGAAAUUGGAGGAGAUCCGAGGGAGAAAAAUAUGAGUGCUCCGGUGAAAGAGGAGAGCUAUUUUUGUGGAACUGAGUGUAUUUUAACCGAGUUUUAUCGGCUAAGAAUCUUAGCCUAAGAUGUCAUCAAGUUAGACCAGUGGCCGAGUUUCAAGUCCUACAUCUUACGAGACGCAACACAGAAUGUGUUCCUUAUGUAAGUUUUCUUCUCACAGUGGUUCCAUCUCUAGGUUUAUUAUGAUUUUCAAAUUAGUAUUAGUUAGCGAAGUUAUUUUCGUGUUGUGGACAAGUCAGGCUAGGCCUUUAGCUGUUCAACAUUUUUUGAAGUUUCUGAUCGUUAGAUAGUUUUAGCCAAAGUUUUGUAUUAGACGUUAUGUUGACGCAGUUAGUAUCUUAUAAUGUAUAUUGUGCUCCUAAAUAUUUUUGUAAUCAUGAACUGGCCAGGAGAAGUUGUUUUCUCCAGUAAUUAAGUAUUGCAUAUGAACUUGCAAACCGAUUGUGUUACAUACGGCUGCGAGUCUCUCAGACCCUACAUUCUCUUUCGGAUCAGAACCUCUCUUUGAACAUGUAAGGAGUCUCAAUUGAUCUGAAGGUGUUAAGGUAGAGAGAUAUAGAAGCGCUUGCUAAACCAUGAGCUGAGCUUAAGAGUUCAUCUUAGAUAUGUUUCUUGCUAACUUUUGCACUGAUAUUUAAGUAUCUUCCUAAUCUCUUUGUUGCACUAAACCUGCUCUUGAGGCGACCAAUCUCCGUAAAUUCCAACUAAAGUCGCAGUAGAAGCACAGGUGGUUAUGAGAGGCUCAUUAAAAUCCAAGAUUUGUGUGUGGUUAUAAAUUUCUACAUGAGAAACAUUCGCAAGUUCCAUAAACACACUGAACAUUUUGAAAAUUGUUUUAUUGAUUUUUCAUUCUCUUUAACAUUAUUAUCUUGAGGUUUGAGUUUUUUAUCAUUGGAAUAUUCUUUGUCUUUUGCUGCUGUUUGCACAGUCUAUUCUCACAAACUUAUUGUCCUCAAGGUCAGAAACCGUUGUCUUUUCUGAAGUACUAUUGACAGCAUGAGGCCAUCGUGUUGAGACCUGGAAGGCUGGCUAUUGUGGUGACAGUGAAGUUGAUCAGAAAUGGUUUCACGGUGAAACUUUCACCUCAGUGUUUCUGGGUUUGUAUAAUGCAUGUAAAGUGAAGAUUGUGGCUUGUGUCGGAUCUCUGCAAAGUAUGCCGAAGAGGAAGAUUUGUUGGUGAGAUAAAAGAUGAGGAAAAAACACAGUAGUCUAGAAUUGGGUCCCGAUCAGAAUUAACCAACAAUGCUGAUGAACGGUAAUAGCAAAUUUAGAAGCAUAUAAAAGCAAAUGUGAUCUUGCAACUGAUGUCCACUUAAAUUAUAUCUUCUACUUGGUUGA